UGCUCCAACAUUUUGCAUCACAACCACACAAUUACUACAGCCUACCUCUGCCUAGUCUACGUUUACCAUUAAAAAUAAGUCCCAUCUAAUGCACGGUUAUAAGUCAUUUUUUUAAUUAGUAGAAGCACAUCGUUGGAUUGAAAGGUGAAAAAUACAAAGAUGCUGCUUCAUUUCCUUUCAACAUUUACCUCAGCAAAGUUAUAUAACACAAAAGAAAAUUACUAUAGUCAAGCGUCUUUAGAACCUUGACACAAAUUUACACAUAUGCAAGUUUCUUUCAUGACUGCAAAAGGUUGAUCAACUUAUGCAACAACUGGUAUUCGUUAAAUGCAUCAUCUUCUGCUAUCCUUAAAAAUAAUUUAAGUCAAGAUGUUCAUCGAAUGAAGGAAGUUUCGAUCAAUGUGAGAACUCUUUUUAACGUAUUAAAAAUCUUGAAUAAUUCCAGUAUCACUCACUGAUGAAAGUAACUUACCACCCGUGCGCUACGUUCCUGCGAUUCACAUUUUCUGCAAUACCAUGGGCCAGUUGGUACCGUAACAAUCCCAUAACAAGCUGCAAAGCAUUGAUACAGAUUUUAAUUGUCUAAUUCAUGCUAUUUAGAGUGGAGAGAAUGUAACGUGAACCUUUGAUGUGGCGGUUAAAUCACAGAGGAGGUCUUUUUAAUGACUGUAGAACAAGGAGAUGAUACAGCAGAUGGUGAGAAUAAAACUCAAGUAGUAAUAAUUGAUAUAUAAAGCAAAUGUGUUUUUCUACCGAUACCGUUGUAACCUUUAACAAC